CGAAGGGGCUAGCGUUGUUCGGAUUUACUGGGCGUAAAGCGCACGUAGGCGGAUCUUUAAGUCAGGGGUGGAAAUCCCGAGGCUCAACCUCGGAACUGCCUUUGAUACUGGGGAUCUCGAGUCCGGGAGAGGUGAGUGGAACUGCGAGUGUAGAGGUGAAAUUCGUAGAUAUUCGCAAGAACACCAGUGGCGAAGGCGGCUCACUGGCCCGGUACUGACGCUGAGGUGCGAAAAGCGUGGGGAGCAAACAGGAUU
rnacentral:rRNA from 1 species